GACGAACGCUGGCGGCGUGCCUAAUACAUGCAAGUCGAACGCUUUUUCUUUCACCGGAGCUUGCUCCAUCGAAAGAAAAAGAGUGGCGAACGGGUGAGUAACACGUGGGUAACCUGCCCUCGAGAAGGGGAUAACACUUGGAAACAGGUGCUAAUACCGUAUAACAAUAUUUGUCGCAUGGCAGAUAUUUGAAAGGCGCUUUAGCGUCACUCGAGGAUGGACCCGCGGUGCAUUAGCUAGUUGGUGAGGUAACGGCUCACCAAGGCCACGAUGCAUAGCCGACCUGAGAGGGUGAUCGGCCACACUGGGACUGAGACACGGCCCAGACUCCUACGGGAGGCAGCAGUAGGGAAUCUUCGGCAAUGGACGAAAGUCUGACCGAGCAACGCCGCGUGAGUGAAGAAGGUUUUCGGAUCGUAAAACUCUGUUGUUAGAGAAGAACAAGGAUGAGAAUAAAACGUUCAUCCCUUGACGGUAUCUAACCAGAAAGCCACGGCUAACUACGUGCCAGCCGCCGCCGUAAAAC
rnacentral:rRNA from 1 species